UACGAAGGGGGCGAGCGUUGUUCGGAAUUACUGGGCGUAAAGGGCGCGUAGGCGGCCCUCUUUGUCGCGUGUGAAAGCCCCCGGCUCAACUGGGGAGGGUCAUUCGAUACUGAUCGACUCGAAGGCAGGAGAGGGUAGUGGAAUUCCCGGUGUAGUGGUGAAAUGCGUAGAUAUCGGGAGGAACACCAGUGGCGAAGGCGACUACCUGGCCUGUUCUUGACGCUGAGGCGCGAAAGCUAGGGGAGCAAACGGG
rnacentral:rRNA from 1 species